GGGGCUGUGGCGAAACUGGUAGACGCGAUGGAAUGUCGCUCCGUUGGGGAAACCCUUGCGAGUUAGAAUCUCGCCAGCCCUACCA
rnacentral:tRNA from 1 species